rnacentral:rRNA from 1 species
AAACAACUGCAGACGGUGGAUCUCUUGGCUCGUGCA